rnacentral:rRNA from 1 species
AACAAACGCUGGCGGCGUGCCUAAUACAUGCAAGUCGAACGGGGAAAGUAGCAAUAUGAGUACUAGUGGCGCACGGGUGAGUAACGCGUGGAUAAUCUGCCUUGAAGAGGGGGAUAACUAGUCGAAAGAUUAGCUAAUACCGCAUAAGACCACAAGAACUGAGGUUCAAGGGGUCAAAGGUUUUUCGCUUCAAGAUGAGUCCGCGUAAGAUUAGCUAGUUGGUGAGGUAAUGGCUCACCAAGGCAACGAUCUUUAACUGGUCUGAGAGGAUGAUCAGUCACACUGAAACUGAGACACGGUCCAGACUCCUAGGGGGGGCGGCAGUAGGGAAUAUGGAACAAGGGAGGAAACUCGAUGCCAGGGCCGCGGCGGGGGGAAGGAGGGCCUCGGGUCCUAAAGGUCUGGCCGAGGGGAAUAACACAAUGAAUGUACCCUGUAAGAAAGGAUCGGCUAACUUCGUG